rnacentral:rRNA from 1 species
UACGUAGGGAGCAAGCGUUGUCCGGAAUCAUUGGGCGUAAAGCGCGCGUAGGUGGCCUCGUAAGUCCGCUGUGAAAGUCAAAGGCUCGACCUUUGAAAGCCGGUGGAUACUGUGAGGCUAGAGUACGGAAGAGGCGAGUGGAAUUCCUGGUGUAGCGGUGGAAUGCGCAGAUAUCAGGAGGAACACCAAUAGCGAAGGCAGCUCGCUGGGACGGUACUGACGCUGAGGCGCGAAAGCGUGGGGAGCGAACAGG